rnacentral:rRNA from 1 species
GACGAACGCUGGCGGCGUGCUUAACACAUGCAAGUCGAGCGGUAAGGCCCUUCGGGUACGACGAGCGGCGAACGGGUGAGUAACACGUGGGUGACCUGCCCUUAGCUCUGGGAUAAGCCUGGGAAACUGGGUCUAAUACCGGAUAUGACCUCAUGACGCAUGUUGUGGGGUGGAAAGCCUUGUGCGGCUAGGGAUGGGCCCGCGGCCUAUCAGCUUGUUGGUGGGGUGAUGGCCUACCAAGGCGACGACGGGUAGCCGGCCUGAGAGGGCGACCGGCCACACUGGGACUGAGACACGGCCCAGACUCCUACGGGAGGCAGCAGUAAGGAAUAUUGGUCAAUGGACGCAAGUCUGAACCAGCCAUGCCGCGUGAGGAUGAAGGUCCUCUGGAUUGUAAACUUCUUUUAUCUGGGAAGAAAUGCUAUUUUUUCUAAAGUGUUUGACGGUACCAGAUGAAUAAGCACCGGCUAACUCCGUGCCAGCAG